UACGUAGGGUGCAGGCGUUAAUCGGAAUUACUGGGCGUAAAGCGUGCGCAGGCGGUUUCUUAAGUCAGAUGUGAAAGCCCCGGGCUUAACCUGGGAACUGCGUUUGAAACUGGGAGACUUGAGUGUGGCAGAGGGGGGUGGAAUUCCACGUGUAGCAGUGAAAUGCGUAGAUAUGUGGAGGAACACCAAUUGCGAAGGCAGCUCGCUGGGACGUUACUGACGCUGAGACGCGAAAGCGUGGGGAGCAAACAGG
rnacentral:rRNA from 1 species